AUAAUUUUAUUUUAAUUAUAAAAUUUAUUUUAAAAUUUUUUUACAUGUAAUAUUAAAAUUGAAAAUAAUUUAUUUAAAAAAUAAAUAAUUAAAAUUUUAUUCGCAGUAAUUAGUAUUAUACCAUUAAUAAUAUAGUUAGAUAUAGAAAUUUUUUUUUGUAUUGGUUAAAUUUGUGCCAGCUACCGCGGUUACACAAAUAAUAAAAAUAAAUUUUAUUAGUAUUAGUUAAAUUAAUAUUAAGUUUAAAAUAAAAUAAAAUUUUUUAAGUGAAAUUUUAAAAUUUAAUUUAUUUUAAAAGAAAAUAAUUUUUAAGCUAUGAAAUUUUUAAUAAAAACUAGGAUUAGAUACCCUAUUAUUUAAAAAGUUAAAAUAAAAUACUAAAAUAUUAAUAGAUAAAUUCUUUAAAUUUAAAAAAUUUGGCGGUAUUUUAGUCUAUUCAGAGGAAUUUGUACCAUAAUCGAUAACCCCCGAUUACCUUACUUAAAUUAAUUAAUUUGUAUAUCGCCGUCUUCAGAAUAUCUUAAAAGAGAAAAUAAUUUUCUUAAAUUAAAAAUUUUAAUUAUGUCAGGUCAAGGUGCAGUUUAUAUUUAAGAGGUUAUGAAUUACAAUAUAAUAUACAUAAAUGAAUAAUUUUUAGAAAUAAAAGUUUAAAAGUGGAUUUGAUAGUAAAUUUUAUUUAUAAAAAUAAAUUGAUUUUAGCUCUAAAAUAUGCACAUAUCGCCCGUCAUUCUCAUUAUAUUUUUUAAAAUGAGACAAGUCGUAACAUAGUAGAUGUACUGGAAGGUGUAUCUAGAAAAA
rnacentral:ncRNA from 1 species